UGGGGAAUUUUGGACAAUGGGCGAAAGCCUGAUCCAGCAAUGCCGCGUGUGUGAAGAAGGCCUUCGGGUUGUAAAGCACUUUUGUCCGGAAAGAAAUCCUUGGCUCUAAUACAGUCGGGGGAUGACGGUACCGGAAGAAUAAGCACCGGCUAACUACGUGCCAGCAGCCGCGGUAAUACGUAGGGUGCAAGCGUUAAUCGGAAUUACUGGGCGUAAAGCGUGCGCAGGCGGUUUGCUAAGACCGAUGUGAAAAUCCCCGGGCUCAACCUGGGAACUGCAUUGGUGACUGGCAGGCUAGAGUAUGGCAGAGGGGGGUAGAAUUCCACGUGUAGCAGUGAAAUGCGUAGAGAUGUGGAGGAAUACCGAUGGCGAAGGCAGCCCCCUGGGCCAAUAACUGACGCUCAUGCACGAAAAGCGUGGGGAGCAAAACAGGAUUAG
rnacentral:rRNA from 1 species